UUGGCACCUCGAUGUCGGCUCAUCGCAUCCUGGGGCUGUAGUCGGUCCCAAGGGUUGGGCUGUUCGCCCAUUAAAGCGGUACGCGAGCUGGGUUCAGAACGUCGUGAGACAGUUCGGUCCCUAUCCGUCGCGGGCGCAGGAAAUUUGAGAGGAGCUGUCCUUAGUACGAGAGGACCGGGAUGGACGCACCGCUGGUGUACCAGUUGUUCUGCCAAGGGCAUCGCUGGGUAGCUAUGUGCGGACGGGAUAAGUGCUGAAAGCAUCUAAGCAUGAAGCCCCCCUCAAGAUGAGAUUUCCCAUUCCGCAAGGAAGUAAGAUCCCUGAAAGAUGAUCAGGUUGAUAGGUCUGAGGUGGAAGCGUGGUGACACGUGGAGCUGACAGAUACUAAUAGAUCGAGGACUUAACCUAU
rnacentral:rRNA from 1 species